CACCCCUCAAACUUAGCUGUUUGAUGUUGGGCACUGCCAGCGUCGGCAUGCCUAAAAAUUAGCGACGGUUCCAGCCAACCUCAAGCGUGCAAGUAUCGUUAUGGGCGAAGGUUGGGGCCAGUCUGUUACGUAUUAUACCUAAAUG
rnacentral:misc_RNA from 1 species